rnacentral:lncRNA from 1 species
CCACUCUGAUUUAUAUUUUGUUCAGACAACCUCGGGCAAUCUUUAAUAAAGUGGUCAACUGAUCCGCACUUGUAACAGGAGCGGUCAUGGAAUCUACAACUCCCCGAGUGCCAUUUACCGCAAUACCAACACUCCGUUCUGUCUCGACGAUCAUUUCCAACACUGGCGACCGAAGUGACUCGUGCACUCACAGGGGGUCG